AUGAGCGUCCCCCUCCUGUGCUGGGGGGUUUGGCGUCUCCUGCAGGCAGGUGUGGUGAAGGCUGGGGUCUCUCAGAGCCCCAGAUUCCAGAUCCUGAAGACUGGACAGAGCAGGAACCUGAGUUGUGUCCAGGAUAUGGGACACAACUCCAUGUACUGGUAUCGCCAGGACCAGGGACUCGGGCUGAGGCAGAUCCAUUACUCAACGGGUGCUAAUAGCAUCGCCAGUGGAGUCAUCCUCCAGGGGUACAAGGUCUCUAGACCAAACAAAAACAACUUCCUGCUCACGCUGGAGUCUGCCACCACCUCCCAGACAGCUGUGUACUUCUGUGCCACCAGCUAUGCACAGCGCUGCAGCCCAGUGGACUCUGAAGUCACGCAGAACCCCAAGUAUCUGGUCACAGCGAGAGGACAGAACGUGACCCUGACAUGUUCCUAUGAGACUAAAGACCAGUAUGUGUGCUGGUUCCAGCAGGCCCUGGGCCAGGGCCCCGAGUUCCUGGUUCAGUAUUAUGGUGCAAACCUGAUUCACAACAUGAAGGGCACGGCCACAGAUUUCGGUCGGCGCAGGCCCUCUAAGGAGGCCCCAGAGCACCUGUGA